UUACCCAGAAUUCUAGUGAUUGAUGGCCGACGGUCUCCAGACGACGCGCGGGUGACAUCUCCGAGACGGAAAGCACGAGAUCGCGUUUAGUUCUGUUCCGGGGCGAGACUUCUCUGGGUUCCCAGACACACGAAGACAGCAGACAGUGGGGACCUUGCAAGCACACAGAUAGCCCUGUCCUGGCUUGAGAGGCGUAACCAGGAGAGAGAUGCAUGGCAAAGGGAAAGGGGCCACAUAGGAGAUCGCUUUGACACCGGGCACCUUUUGCUGUUUGAAAAGAAUGGAGGGAGGUGCCAGGCGCAUUCCUGAUACACAGACUACGUGUAGUCAAAGCACAUACACAUAAAGGAAAUCCGUCUAAAAUAAAAAUUAAUCCCAAGAGAGGCAGGGUUGGUGGCUCCUUCCUGCAACCGAGCAUGAGAUCCACGUCAGCCUGGGCUCCGUAACAAGAGGUUAUCUACAACAACAACGAAAGGACAGGUCGGGACUCUCAUGGCAAUUCUAAGAAUCGUAAUGAAGUCUCCGUAAUUUAAGGAUCUAACCGAAAUAAAGUCAGCUUCUUUAUGAAAA